GAUGAACGCUGGCGGCAGGCCUAACACAUGCAAGUCGAGGGAAAAGACCUUUAGGGGGCCGCUACCGGGGCACGGGCGCGUAACUCGUUAGCAACCUGCCUUUCACCCGGUGAUAGCCCGAAGACAUUUGGAAUCAUAACCCAUUAUCUUAUUGGAUGGCAACCUUUGAUAAUUAAAAGUGCGGUGCUGUAAGGUGGGCAUUCAUACUAUUAGCUAGUUGGCGUGGUAACGGCAAUCCAAGGAUACGAUAGGUAGGGGUCCGGGGAGGGAGAUCCCCCACACUGGUACUGAGACAGGGACCAGACUCCUACGGGAGGCAGCAGUGAGGAAUAUUGGUCAAUGGUCGGAAGACUGAACCAGCCAUGCCGCGUGCAGGAAGAAUGCCUUAUGGGUAGUAAACUGCUUUUAUAUGGGAAGAAUAAGGCGUACGUGUACGUUGAUGACGGUACCAUAUGAAUAAGCAUCGGCUAACUCCGUG
rnacentral:rRNA from 1 species